GAUGAACGCUGGCGGCGUGCCUAAUACAUGCAAGUCGAGCGAACAGACGAGGAGCUUGCUCCUCUGACGUUAGCGGCGGACGGGUGAGUAACACGUGGAUAACCUACCUAUAAGACUGGGAUAACUUCGGGAAACCGGAGCUAAUACCGGAUAAUAUAUUGAACCGCAUGGUUCAAUAGUGAAAGACGGUUUUGCUGUCACUUAUAGCUGGAUCCGCGCCGCAUUAGCUAGUUGGUAAGGUAACGGCUUACCAAGGCGACGAUGCGUAGCCGACCUGAGAGGGUGAUCGGCCACACUGGAACUGAGACACGGUCCAGACUCCUACGGGAGGCAGCAGUAGGGAAUCUUCCGCAAUGGGCGAAAGCCUGACGGAGCAACGCCGAGUGAGUGAUGAAGGUCUUCGGAGCGUAAAACUCUGUUAUUAGGGAAGAACAAAUGUGUAAGUAACUAUGCACGUCUUGACGGUACCUAAUCAGAAAGCCACGGCUAACUACGUG
rnacentral:rRNA from 1 species